UCUACAGCGUUUGGAGGGACCGGUUUAGAGAGAGGGAGAGUCCGUCAGUCAGAGGCAGAGGUCGAGCCGUGGAGUAGAUCUCGCCGGCUGGGCUCGUCCCGGGGCUGGUGCGUCCUGCCUGCCGCCGGCGACCUCCUCGUCGGUGAGUACGUGCAGCAGCCCGGAGAGGUGCCAAAGGCUGGAUCUCGCAGAACAAGGACAUGAGGUACUUGGGCAUGGAAUGGGAAUCACAAUUGUUGUGGUGGAAAUGAAGAAUAUCCUGUUAUUUGGCUGCUACCAUCGAUGUUCUUUUAGAUUGAACAUUGCCAUGAGCGUUUCUCUACGCAAUGAAUAUAUUAGAUCAAGCAUCAUGUCAUGGACACCAUAAGACUUUUCUGCGUUGAUAGUGAUGUCUACGGGUUGGAUCGUACUUCUGUUUAUCAGCUCACUGAAGUAACUCUCCUAGCUCAAAUGGGUUAAUUUCGUGUUUACAUGAUACACAAAUCUUCAGCUAUCCAUCUUCAUAUGAAUUGGUCUCGCUUAAUUUUGUAAUCUUCUGGAUAUAUGCUUACAUAUAAUAAAUGAUGUGAAGAUAGAUCAUAGAACAAAACCAUAAUCUUUAGUCUUAAGCAAGUUAGGGUAAACUAGAGAUAGAACACAACAGAAGCCACACACACGAAUGACAUGGAAAGCAGCAAAGAAAUAGUAAAAGAAGCUCUUGACUUGUAGAUUAUGUCAAAGUGAUAAUCUAGAGUCAAGCUUCUUUUACUAUUAGUUUCGAUCUACCUUGUCAUCUAUAGGAUUAGUUAUUAUAUCUAAGUAUGUUUUCAGAAGAUUAGAAGAUUAAGCAAGGUCACUUGAUAGGUAAAUUGAUAGCCGAAUGUUUUGUUUAUCAUGGAAAACCAGAGAUUAGCCUAUUUGAGCUCAGUGAUAGAGUUACUCAAUGAGAUCAUAAAUAGAAGCAUGAUUCAACCAAUAGACAUCAAUUUGAUGAAGGCAUGAAAAAUCUUAUUGUGUUAUGAUAUGAUGAUUGAUCCAAUAUGUUUUUGCCAAGUGAAGAAAAACACUAACAUGGCACUGAGUGAAAGCGAUCUAUACAAAGGCAAGAUUUGAAUAUUAUCCACCCGAAAGAGAAUGUCAGAUAUGACCACCAUCAGAAGAAGCAACAAUGCCACAAGUGAGCUCUCUUGUAUAUCCAUGUGCUAUUGUCGAUUCAGCGUCGCAUAUGUUGAGCGUUUAUGUUCUACAUGUGUUAGAUUUAGAAUAUUGUGGUGAGCACUUCCAUUCUUGCCAAUUGAGAUGGUGAGGCUCAGGAACACUUCAUUUGCCAUGGUGUUUUGAUUCGUCUUCUGCAGCAACAUGAAACUCUCAUUGUAAUUGUACCCACUUAUGCCUGAAUACUGCUAUUACUUCAGUUAGAUUCAAGAAGCACCAAGUUUCUGCAGCGCUCCUGCAUUUUGCUAAUGAUGAACUUCCUUCUCCAUUUCUUUCUUUUGUAAGGAAGAGUUAUGUACUUAUGAUGUAUGACUGGCUGGUUAAUUUUCUGUCAAUUCAACAACCAGUUUGUAUGGUGGCCAGUGCAAUUUGCCCGUAUGAACCAUUAGUUAUUAUAUAUGUACUGAUGUCUGGUUUGCCUGCUC